rnacentral:rRNA from 1 species
AUUGAACGCUGGCGGCAGGCCUAACACAUGCAAGUCGGACGGUAGCACAGAGGAGCUUGCUCCUCGGGUGACGAGUGGCGGACGGGUGAGUAAUGUCUGGGGAUCUGCCCGAUAGAGGGGGAUAACCACUGGAAACGGUGGCUAAUACCGCAUAACGUCGCAAGACCAAAGAGGGGGACCUUCGGGCCUCUCACUAUCGGAUGAACCCAGAUGGGAUUAGACUAGUAGGCGGGGUAACGGCCCACCUAGGCGACGAUCCCUAGCUGGUCUGCGAGGAUGACCAGCCACACUGAAACCGAGACACGGUCCAGACUCCGACGGGAGGCAGCAGUGGGGAAUAUUGCACAAUGGGCGCAAGCCUAAUGAAGCCAUGCCGCGUGUAUGAAGAAGGCCUUCGGGUUGUAAAGUACUUUCAGCGGGAAGGAAGGCGAUGUGGUUAAUAACCGCGUCGAUUGACGUUACCCGCAGAAGAAGCACCGGCUAACUCCGUGCCAGCAGCCGCAGUAA